rnacentral:rRNA from 1 species
UACAGAGGGUGCGAGCGUUGUCCGGAAUCACUGGGCGUAAAGGGCGCGUAGGUGGCGGCCCAAGUCCAUGGUGAAAGCUCGAUGCUCAACAUCGAGUCGGCCACGGAUACUGGGUUGCUCGAGCACUGUAGGGGCAGAUGGAAUUCCGGGUGUAGCGGUGGAAUGCGUAGAGAUCCGGAAGAACACCGGUGGCGAAGGCGGCUUCCUGGACCGACACUGACGCUGAGGCGCGAAAGCUAGGGGAGCAAACGGG